GGCGGACGGGUGAGUAACACGUGAGUAACCUGCCUUAGACAUUGGGAUAGCCUCGGGAAACCGGGAUUAAUACCAAAUAAAAUCAUAAUGACACAUGUCAUAACGAUCAAAACUCCGGUGGUCUAAGAUGGACUCGCGUCCCAUUAGCUAGUUGGUAGAGUAAAAGCCUACCAAGGCGACGAUGGGUAGCCGGCCUGAGAGGGUGAACGGCCACAUUGGAACUGAGAAACGGUCCAA
rnacentral:rRNA from 1 species